GCCCCGAUGGUCUAGUGGUAUGAUUCUUCGUUCGGGUCGAAGAGGUCUCGCGUUCGAGUCGCGAUUGGGGCC
rnacentral:tRNA from 1 species